rnacentral:rRNA from 1 species
GAUGAACGCUGGCGGCGUGCCUAAUACAUGCAAGUCGAGCGAACAGACGAGGAGCUUGCUUCUCUGACGUUAGCGGCGGACGGGUGAGUAACACGUGGAUAACCUACCUAUAAGACUGGGAUAACUUCGGGAAACCGGAGCUAAUACCGGAUAAUAUAUUGAACCGCAUGGUUCAAAAGUGAAAGACGGUCUUGCUGUCACUUAUAGAUGGAUCCGCGCUGCAUUAGCUAGUUGGUAAGGUAACGGCUUACCAAGGCAACGAUGCGUAGCCGACCUGAGAGGGUGAUCGGCCACACUGGAACUGAGACACGGUCCAGACUCCUACGGGAGGCAGCAGUAGGGAAUCUUCCGCAAUGGGCGAAAGCCUGACGGAGCAACGCCGCGUGAAUGAUGAAGGUCUUCGGAUCGUAAAACUCUGUUAUUAGGGAAGAACAAAUGUGUAAGUAACUAUGCACGUCUUGACGGUACCUAAUCAGAAAGCCACGGCUAACUACGUG